rnacentral:lncRNA from 1 species
CAUGAACCUCGCUAGAUGCCUAUACUAAGAACUUGAAGAACUAGAGCUCUACUUCUAAUCUCUAGAAACCCUAACUUUUGACUACUCUUGACAAAUGAAGCAAGAGGAAUGAAUUGAAUCUAUGGGUCCCUCUGGAAGGGGGUCUGCCCCUCUAUUUAUAGCCUGGUGGAGUGCACACACGCUGUUGGAUCAAACCGACUUAACAAGCGGCCGAGAUGACUCCUCAAAGGUGGUGGAGGAAGCUUCUAGAAGGGGAGGCCAAACCCUAACCACAGGGGGCCGGGCGGCGCCAGGGUGGGACCGGCUGGCCCCACCUAGUGGUCUCUGUCAAUAUUUGGUAACGCAAUCAGAAUUAAUCCGCAAGCGCACGGAUAUCGGUGAGCACUUCACCCGGGAUGUUAUCUAGAGUAUCAUAUUUAUAUUUUUACCACUAGGAGAAAGAGUGCAUCUGACUAACCCGGUCUAUUACUACUAACCUUUAGGCUACAAAGAAUGUGAUUCAAUGUGAGUGAUGUAUAGAGAAUACUACAACUGCACUCUCGUUCUAACCUUGAUAAGGAUGAGCUACUAUUCUGUUGGGGAAGCUCACGGCUG